AACCCAACAAUGAAACAAACAAACAAACAAACAAAUCUCCCCGUAAUUGUCAAAUUCAAAAGUCAAACAUCGGAAAACUAUUUUAGUAGCGGGCAGAGGUAGCGAACACGUCACCCUCGAGAGAAGGCCAGCAACAGUCGAUAACCUCACCGAAGCAGCGAAACAUUCGAAAAUCUUCCCUGGUGUUGCAUCGGAAAGCGAUUUACAAAAAUGGAGAACAUCCAAGGAUCGAAAAUCACCUUCUCUAAGUCAAAUGGGACCGGAUUCUAUCAAACACAAAUUCUCUCUGCAGGACAACGGCUCGGCGAAAUAUUUUCAAGGAGCAAUGCACACGCCAAAUAUGGGUGAAAAAGUAGCACAGGUAAGGGCACGAACAAUUUUUAUCCU